UAUCCAAUACUCAAUAGUCAUUAUAGAGAUUUUAUCGUUAGGGUCGCAGCGUCAGUCGAUGAAGACGUAUCACACAGCGUAGGGGCUCCAGUUUUUUUAACCGUGUUUACCAUCUGUAAAGAAUAUUUCAAUUCGAUUUCAUACCAAAUUCAUCGGAAAAAGAGAAUCAGAAAUAUGUUCAUAAAAUACGAAGGAACAGCAGAUUAUAAGCCUGAUUCAAAGCAAAAGAAGGUAUUAAAAACUGUGAAGAAAGGUGCAGUUAAAGUAUGGAAGUAUUGCAAGUCGGCUGUAGUAAAAUAUUUUGAUGAUAUGAUGAAACAAGAAUAUGUUAUCGUUAAGAACGGUAUUAUAUACAAGGAAGGUUGUGAUCCCAGAGUUAAAAAUUACUAUCAUUGAAAAGUAAUCGCUUAUUAUUUUUAUAAAAAAACAACAACAUGGUUCAUUAGCCUUACUCAGAUUACUAAAGAAAAUGUCUAAAUUAUCUGAUUUUUUUUAAUUAUUCAUUUCAUUUUAUUUUUUUAUUAGUAUAUUAUAUAACAUUAAAACUAUGAUUUUAUUAUGCUAGAUAAUAUUCUUUAACAAGUAACAUGGUACAAAAUAAUAUUACAUAAAUUGUAUUUUACUUUUACUUUUAAUAAAACAGUUAAUUAUUUUAUGUUUUAAAAA